rnacentral:rRNA from 1 species
UACAGAGGUCUCAAGCGUUGUUCGGAUUCAUUGGGCGUAAAGGGUGCGUAGGCGGCGCGGUAAGUCGGGUGUGAAAUCUUGGAGCUUAACUCCGAAACUGCAUUCGAUACUGCCGUGCUUGAGGACUGGAGAGGAGACUGGAAUUUACGGUGUAGCGGUGAAAUGCGUAGAUAUCGUAAGGAAGACCAGUGGCGAAGGCGGGU